rnacentral:rRNA from 1 species
GUGCUUACACAUGCAAGUCGAACGAUGAAGCCCUUCGGGGUGGAUUAGUGGCGAACGGGUGAGUAACACGUGGGCAAUCUGCCCUUCACUCUGGGACAAGCCCUGGAAACGGGGUCUAAUACCGGAUAACACUCUGUCCCUCAUGGGGCGGGGUUAAAAGCUCCGGCGGUGAAGGAUGAGCCCGCGGCCUAUCAGCUUGUUGGUGGGGUAAUGGCCUACCAAGGCGACGACGGGUAGCCGGCCUGAGAGGGCGACCGGCCACACUGGGACUGAGACACGGCCCAGACUCCUACGGGAGGCAGCAGUGGGGAAUAUUGCACAAUGGGCGAAAGCCUGAUGCAGCGACGCCGCGUGAGGGAUGACGGCCUUCGGGUUGUAAACCUCUUUCAGCAGGGAAGAAGCGCAAGUGACGGUACCUGCAGAAGAAGCACCGGCUAACUACGUGCCAGCAGCCGCGGUAAUACGUAGGGUGCGAGCGUUGUCCGGAAUUAUUGGGCGUAAAGAGCUCGUAGGCGGCUUGUCACGUCGGAUGUGAAAGCUCGGGGCUUAACCCCGAGUCUGCAUUCGAUACGGGCUAGCUAGAGUGUGGUAGGGGAGAUCGGAAUUCCUGGUGUAGCGGUGAAAUGCGCAGAUAUCAGGAGGAACACCGGUGGCGAAGGCGGAUCUCUGGGCCAUUACUGACGCUGAGGAGCGAAAGCGUGGGGAGCGAACAGGAUUAGAUACCCUGGUAG